CCUACGGGUGGCAGCAGUGGGGAAUAUUGCACAAUGGGGGAAACCCUGAUGCAGCGACGCCGCGUGAGUGAAGAAGUAUUUCGGUAUGUAAAGCUCUAUCAGCAGGGAAGAAAUAGCGACCUUUGGGUCGCCAGACGGUACCUGACUAAGAAGCCCGGCCAACUACGUGCCAGCAGCCGCGGGAAUACGUAGGGGGCAAGCGUUAUCCGGAUUUACUGGGUGUAAAGGGAGCGUAGACGGCAGCGCAAGUCUGUAGUGAAAGGCCGGGGCUUAACCCCGGAACUGCUUUGGAAACUGUGCAGCUAGAGUGCAGGAGAGGUAAGUGGAAUUCCUAGUGUAGCGGUGAAAUGCGUAGAUAUUAGGAGGAACACCAGUGGCGAAGGCGGCUUACUGGACUGUAACUGACGUUGAGGCUCGAAAGCGUGGGGAGCAAACAGGAUUAGAUACCCCAGUAGUC
rnacentral:rRNA from 1 species